CAUGAAGCUAGGCGAGUCAACCUGCUGAAUUUAAGCAUAUAAGUAAGCGGAGGACUUGAAACCAAACAGGAUUCCUUCAGUAACGGCGAGUGAACAGGGAGUAGCUCAGCAUGGAAAUUGGGGCUGGUAGCCUUGAGUUGUAGUCUGGAGAUGCGUUGCCAAUGGGGGUGCAGAUGUAAGCCUCUUGGAAAAGAGCACUAAUGAGGGUGACAGUCCUGUUUGCCAUCUGUCGUCUUCCAUGCACGGCGUGCUUUCUACGAGUCACGUUCCUUGGGCUUGGAGCGCCAAUGUGGUGGUAAUUUUCACCCCAAGCUAAAUACAUGUUCAGGACCGACAGCAAACAAGUACCAUGAGGGAAAGGUGAAAAGGACUUUGAGAAGAGUGUUAAAAGUGCAUGAAUUUGCUGAAUGUAAGUGAAUGGAACCGUUUGUCUGGGUAAGAUUGCCACACUUGUCUGUGACGUGGUGCCUGAUUUCGCAAGUAUUGCAGUGCUGCGUUGUUUGUGUAUGUGUGGUGUUUCUUGCCUUGCUAGUCACUGUCAGUGUGCAACUGUGCAUGAAAUCAAGGAUUUGCGUGUUCACUUGUGGUGGCCAUGCAUGUCUUGAGUGUGCACACUUGUACAUUGCUUGGUGUGUGCCGGGGUGGAGUGUUGCAGGCUGCUCUUUGUUGCUGAGAAACUGUUCUCUUCAUGAGGUGUGCGCUUGGGACAUAUUCUUGUUUGCGCCAACGUUGACUAAAUGGCUCUAUUCGACCCGUCUUGAAACACGGACCAAGGAGUCUAACGCAUGUGUAAGUUUGCGGGUGGCCAACUUGUGUGCGACAUGAAAGUGUUUGUUGGGAUUCUGUGCACUAACAAUGGACCAAUCGUGUGGGAGAGGUUUGAGUUGGAGCACAUGCGUUAGGACCCGAAAGAUGGUGAACUAUGCCUGAGGAGGGCAAAUUCAGGGGAAACUCUGAUGGAGGCUUGUAGCGAUACUGACGUGCAAAUCGUUCGUCUCACUUGGGUAUAGGGGCGAAAGACUAAUCGAACCAUCUAGUAGCUGGUUCCCUCCGAAGUUUCCCUCAGGAUAGCUGGAACUAAGCAGUUUUAUUAGGUAAAGCAAAUGUUUAGAGGAAUCGGGGACGUUGUCCUCGACCUAUUCACAAACUUUAAAUGGGUAAGAUGCAGUGGUUGCUUGUGUGAUCUUCUGGGGUAAAUGCACUUUCUACGUGGGCCGUUUUUGGUAAGCAGAACUGGCGAUGCGGGAUGAACCGGAAGCCGGGUUACGGUGCCCAACUGCGCGCUAACCUAGAUCCCACAAAGGGUGUUGGUCGAUUAAGACAGCAGGACGGUGGUCAUGGAA
rnacentral:rRNA from 1 species